UGCAAGGCUGUAAUUGCUGCAAAUGGAGGAUUCUUUGACGAAAGCAAAGUUUGAAGGACACAAUUAUUAUUUCAAUUAAAAAUCAUUAUUUAUAACCUUGUCAACGUCUUGACUAUAUUUCCUAUUCAUUUUGCAACUCAUUUCAUGUAUGUUUUCAUGGAAAACAAGGACAUUUCUAAGUGACCCACAACUUUUGAACAUAAAAAAUAUGAACAGUCAUCAUCAAAAAAAGUACAAUAUAUUUAUUUGAAAAGCGUAUCUCCCAUCACUACUAAACGUUUUAUUUCUUCUGAGGUGGUAAUAUGAGUGUUCAAUUAGAGUUUCACAUCUUUAUUUUUCUCAGAAUUUGGACCAACACUACAAUUUUACGUUUGAGAUGUUUUACUCAAAUAAAACAUUUUAGCAGACGCUCGUAUCCAGAGCAAUUAGGGUUAAAUGCAUAGCACGUCGACAGACUUUUUCCCCCACCUAGUCGGCUCGGGUAUUUGAACCAGCAACCUUCCGGUCACUAGCACAACAUUCUUAAGCGCUAGGCCCCAUCCCCCAUGUACUAUACACAGCUACAUUGGUGAGGCACCUUAUCAUGAGUUGAUGAAAUUCUAAAUAUACACAAAUCGAGUGUAUAAAAGCCGAUUCGAUAUUAAAAAAAUAUUCUUAAUCUGAACCAUUCACCAUCCUAGCAGUAAUGUACAACCUAACCAAAAACUAGACAAUAAAGUCUUAAUUUAUUAUUUCUAAUAUUAAAUGAAAAUUAACACAUUUUCAGAAUUUAAAUGUACCUUUCCACAAAUACAUUAUUAUAUAUUUAUACACACACUUAUCUACCUAGCGUUAUCGCCAUAUAUUAGCAGCCUGAGCAACUAUUAUGAUAUAUGGCGUAAGGUUUCUGUUGCAGCAUGUCCAUUUGCAGGACCAGUUGGAUAGUUCUUAUAAUGCUGUAAGGGAUGGGCAACUGGCGGACCCGCGACCUCUCCCCCCCUUUGAAGGCCCGCGGACCAAUUUGACCGACAAAAUAAAAUGGAGAGUUAGAAUAGUAGAAUACAUAAGCUGCAAUUUCGACAUUCAGUUUUUGUUGUGCAAUCAGCAGUCACUCAAUAAGCCCAGGUCAGCUAAAUGUUUUUACAUUGGUCAGUUAGUUUAGCUAGUCUAGUGGCCAGCUGUCUAAACUUGUAGUAAACAUGGUUAAAUUACUAACUGGGGUGGGGCCCACUGAUCAUCAGUCAUAUUUAAAACGGCAACAUUUUUCUGUACGCCCCAUGGCAAAAUAUGCAGAAUUGCAGGAAAUUAAGUUUAAAACGUCAAUUUUUUCGCUGUCAGGAGACGAACCGCUAAAAAGGGGAGUUUCGUUUUUUUUUCUUCUUCUUGGAACACACCCCCCAUCAAAGUUGCCGAUCCGUGCCGUAAGACGUACGGAACAUUAGCAAGAAAAGAAGCUAUACUCAACAUACACAACCAAUAACUUUACCCGCCCAAGUUAAAUCAUUGUCAUUUCUUCAGAGCAAAAAAAAAAGUACUAAUGUAGUACAGUAGUUGUAUAAUCUUGCAUGAUUUAUAAAAGCUGCAGUUCAAUUCAUUCACAUUUCUCUUUGAUUUCAAUUGUAAUGUCAGUGGGUUGUGAGGCUUCCCCAAACUCACUACUCAGUGGGUUGUGAGGCUUCCCCCAACUCACUACUCAGUGGGUUGUGAGGCUUCCCCCAACUCACUACUCAGUGGGUUGUGAGGCUUCCCCCAACUCACUACUCCUAGUGCCAUCUUCAUAGUGCAAAAGCUAGAGUUACAGAGGUGUGGGUGGGAAAGCGGAAGGGAGGCUACGGCCGUUACCCAACCAGAGACUGUUGAGAGAGCUCUCAUCGUCGCUCUGUG
rnacentral:lncRNA from 13 species